UACUCCUACGGGAGGCAGCAGUAGGGAAUCUUCGGCAAUGGACGGAAGUCUGACCGAGCAACGCCGCGUGAGUGGAGAAGGUUUUCGGAUCGUAAAGCUCUGUUGUAAGAGAAGAACGAGUGUGAGAGUGGAAAGUUCACACUGUGACGGUAUCUUACCAGAAAGGGACGGCUAACUACGUGCCAGCAGCCGCGGUAAUACGUAGGUCCCGAGCGUUGUCCGGAUUUAUUGGGCGUAAAGCGAGCGCAGGCGGUUAGAUAAGUCUGAAGUUAAAGGCUGUGGCUUAACCAUAGUACGCUUUGGAAACUGUUUAACUUGAGUGCAAGAGGGGAGAGUGGAAUUCCAUGUGUAGCGGUGAAAUGCGUAGAUAUAUGGAGGAACACCGGUGGCGAAAGCGGCUCUCUGGCUUGUAACUGACGCUGAGGCUCGAAAGCGUGGGGAGCAAACAGGAUUAGAUACCCUGGUAGUCCACGCCGUAAACGAUGAGUGCUAGGUGUUAGACCCUUUCCGGGGUUUAGUGCCGUAGCUAACGCAUUAAGCACUCCGCCUGGGGAGUACGACCGCAAGGUUGAAACUCAAAGGAAUUGACGGA
rnacentral:rRNA from 1 species